UGUGAAAUUGCUGGGUCACAUGGUUGAUUUACGUUUAACUUUUUGAGAAACUACCAAGCUGUUUUCCGCAGUAGCUGCACCAUUUUACAUUCCCACCAGCAAU
rnacentral:pre_miRNA from 1 species